AGAGUUUGAUCCUGGCUCAGGACGAACGCUGGCGGCAUGCCUAACACAUGCAAGUCGAACGGAGACAUACUAAAAGUUUACUUUUUGUAUGUUUUAGUGGCGGAUGGGUGAGUAACACGUGGAUAAUCUGCCCUUGACUUGGGAAUAACAUCGUGAAAACGGUGCUAAUACCGAAUACUCUCACGAGGCCGCAUGGUUUUGUGAGCAAAGGGGGCGUAAGCUCCCGGUCGAGGAUGAGUCCGCGGCCCAUUAGCUAGUUGGCGGUGUAACGGACCACCAAGGCUACGAUGGGUAGCCGGCCUGAGAGGGUGAACGGCCACACUGGGACUGAGACACGGCCCAGACUCCUACGGGAGGCAGCAGUGGGGAAUAUUCCGCAAUGGACGAAAGUCUGACGGAGCAAUGCCGCGUGAAUGAUGAAGGCCUUUGGGUCGUAAAAUUCUGUCUUCGGGGACGAUACCCCGGUGUGUUAAUACCACAUCGGACUGACGGUACCCGAGGAGGAAGCCCCGGCUAACUACGUGCCAGCAGCCGCGGUAAUACGUAGGGGGCGAGCGUUGUCCGGAAUCAUUGGGCGUAAAGGGCGCGUAGGCGGCCUGGUAAGUCGGAUGUGAAAACCUUGGGCUCAACCCAGGGCCUGCAUCCGAAACUAUUAGGCUUGAGGUCAGGAGAGGGAAAUGGAAUUCCGAGUGUAGCGGUGAAAUGCGUAGAUAUUCGGAAGAACACCAGUGGCGAAGGCGAUUUCCUGGACUGAUACUGACGCUGAGGCGCGAAAGCUAGGGGAGCGAACGGGAUUAGAUACCCCGGUAGUCCUAGCUGUAAACGAUGGAUACUAGGUGUAGGGGGUAUCGACCCCCCCUGUGCCGCAGCUAACGCAAUAAGUAUCCCGCCUGGGGAGUACGGUCGCAAGACUGAAACUCAAAGGAAUUGACGGGGGCCCGCACAAGCGGUGGAGCAUGUGGUUUAAUUCGACGCAACGCGAAGAACCUUACCAAGGCUUGACAUCCCUUGACCGCCUUAGAAAUAGGGUUUUCCCUUCGGGGACAAGGUGACAGGUGGUGCAUGGUUGUCGUCAGCUCGUGUCGUGAGAUGUUGGGUUAAGUCCCGCAACGAGCGCAACCCCUGCUGUCAGUUGCCAUCAUUAAGUUGGGCACUCUGGCGGGACUGCCGGUGACAAACCGGAGGAAGGCGGGGAUGACGUCAAAUCAUCAUGCCCCUUAUGUCUUGGGCUACACACGUGCUACAAUGGACUGUACAACAGGUUGCGAAGGAGCGAUCCGGAGCUAAUCC
rnacentral:rRNA from 1 species